rnacentral:rRNA from 1 species
UGAGGAAUAUUGGGCAAUGCCCGAAAGGGUGACCCAGCAACGCCGCGUGGAGGAUGAAGGUCGUAAGAUUGUAAACUCCUGUUAGAGGGGAAGAAUAACUAAGUUUGGAGCUUAGUAUGACUGUACCCUCAGAGAAAGCCCCGGCUAACUACGUGCCAGCAGCCGCGGUAAUACGUAGGGGGCAAGCGUUGUCCGGAUUUACUGGGUGUAAAGGGCGCGCAGGCGGGCAGAUAAGUCAGUGGUGAAAUCUUCCGGCUUAACCGGGAAACUGCCGUUGAUACUAUUUGGCUUGAAUAUUGCGGAGGUAAGCGGAAUAUGUCGUGUAGCGGUGAAAUGCUUAGAUAUGACAUAGAACACCAAUUGCGAAGGCAGCUUACUACACAAUCAUUGACACUGAGGCACGAAAGCGUGGGUAGCGAACA